ACAGUGGAUACACAGCUUUACAUAUGGCUGCUUGCUUUGGAUAUCUACAGACCACAAGAUGUCUGGUAGAACAAGGAGGUGCCAGUCCCUUGAUUAAAUCACAUGAGGGUCAGACUCCAUACGACUUAGCAGCAGAAAGAAUGAGAGGACAGUAUAAAGAAGUGAUGGAAUACUUACAGACUGUCAUGUCAGAGAAAUCUUCAGGUGUGACUGCUGGACAAGGGAGAGAAGGUAAU